GGAAGCGUGGCAGAGUGGUUGAAUGCACCGGUCUUGAAAACCGGCGACCCGAAAGGGUUCGUGAGUUCGAAUCUCACCGCUUCCGCCA
rnacentral:tRNA from 4 species